GGGUGCUGCCUAAAUUCCAUAAAUCUACCAGAUCCCAUCUGAUCUUAGAAGCUAAACAGAGUUGGAUGUAGUUAGUACUUGGAUGGGAGAAUGCCAAGGAAUAAUAGGUGCUGUAGGCU
rnacentral:rRNA from 1 species